rnacentral:rRNA from 1 species
AUGGAUUCCAAGCCCCAAGCCCCGCCGUCGGAGGGCGCGGCGUACCCGCGCAUGUCCCCGGAGGACCUCGCGCCGCCGCCGCCGCCGGUCGUGGCGCCCGCGGGCUCCAACCCCUACGUGCUGUCCUCGCCCUCCUCCGGACCGCCCGCCAAGAGUAAGUCACCUACCACUGCCAACCACCACCUAUCUCCUCGCCUCCUGCUCUCUGCUGCUCCAGCUCCUGUUCCGAGACUGGAUUCGACAUGGUUAGUGUUUUCUUUCGCGGGGGGCAUGGUUAGUGUUUGUGCUGACGUUUCUUUUGGGGAAUCGAUUGCUGCAGGCACCAAGGAGAAUCUGAGGGAGAUGUUCGGCUCGGUGGGGAAGAGGUUCAGCGAGGCCGCGCGCAAGACCGAGGGCAUCGCCGGCGACGUCUGGCAGCACUUGAAAACUGGGCCUAGCAUUACGGAUGCUGCAAUGGGGAGGAUCGCUCAGGUAUCCAAGGUCAUAUCGGAAGGGGGAUACGACAAGAUAUUCCAGCAGACGUUUGAGUGCUUGCCUGACGAGAAGCUCAAGAAGGCGUACGCGUGCUACCUCUCGACCUCUCAUGGUCCGAUAAUGGGCGUCUUAUACGUCUCCACCGCCAAGCUUGCAUUCUGUAGUGACAGCCCCGUGGCAUAUGUCACUGAGGAUAAUCAGACCGCGUCAGCCAUUUACAAGAUAGUUGUACCUGUACCUCACCUGAGAUCAGUCACUCCUACCGCAAGUCAACAGAACCCUGCGGAGAGGUACAUCCAGGUCGUUUCUGUCGAUAACCAUGACUUCUGGUUCAUGGGCUUCGUGAACUAUGACAGCGCUGUGAAGUGUCUCCAGGAUGCUGCUCGUGGUGGCGCCUAG